AGACGUCGUGUUAAUUUUACUCUGGAAAGCCCCGCCCACUUCCUCCUCUUUCAACCGUCGAAGAUUUUUCAGGACGCCAUUUCUCUCACCGUCGAACGAAUGCGGAACCAUGUUGAUUAAGGUCAGACUUGGUGAUGUCCAAAAUUUUUUAAGAAUAACAGAGCUGGACCUAAAAGAGUUUUUGAUUGCAGCAUUUGCAAAGUUCGGUGUGCCAGCUGUAACAGAAGGUGUGAAGGUUUUGGACAGUUCGGGUUGGAUGACGAUGUAUUUGAGGAUGUAGUUAAGGACCCUCAGCUGGAGUGCUAACCAUCAAAUAUAACACUGAAUCUGUCUCCAUGGCAUGUCCUGAGCAGUCUGAAACACCAUCCCAUGAUUCGUCUGAUUCUCAAGAUACAGACAUCCUUUCAGAGAGUCCUUCCAACAAACGGCAGAGGCUGGACACAGAAGCC